rnacentral:rRNA from 1 species
CCUACGGGUGGCAGCAGUAGGGAAUAUUGCUCAAUGGGGGAAACCCUGAAGCAGCAACGCCGCGUGGAGGAUGACGGCUUUAUGAUUGUAAACUCCUUUUGUUAGAGAAGAUUAUUACGGUAUCUAACCUAUAAGCCCCGGCUAAAUCCGUUCCAGCCGCCGCGGUAAUACGGAGGGUGCAAGCGUUACUCGGUAUCACUGGGCGUAAAGAGUGCGUAGGCGGGGUAAUAAGUCAGAUGUGAAAUCCUGUAGCCUAACUACAGAACUGCAUUUGAAACUGUUAGUCUGGAGUGUGGGAGAGGUAGGUGGAAUGUGUGGUGUAGGGGUAAAAUGCGUAGAGAUCAAGCGGAAUACUGAUUGCGAAGGCGACAUGCUGGAACACGACUGACGCUGAUGCACGAAAGCGUGGGUAGCAAACAGGAUUAGAUACCCUUGUAGUC